ensembl:lncRNA
CCUCAACAUCACCAGUGUGGACAUAUAAUGCUGAAGUUCUGGCAACAUGUAAGAAGAGGAAAUGUCUCUUCCACUGCUGCAUUAAGAAGAUGCGUGCUUCCUGUAUUCUGCUGCUGCCCUUCCCCCGGUAUGCAGUUACUCUAUGGGGAGAAAAACAGCCACUUGGUCACUCACAGAUGGAAAGGAGUCUGGGAGCUCUAGUUUCUGUAUCCCCAGUAACUCUACUUCACACUAAGGGAGUCAGAGCACAGAUCUUUGGUGGAGCAGCCAGCUGUUGGACACACUCAUCUGCCAAAGAAUCUUAUUCUCUCAUGGAUACCAAAGAAAUAAGAGAACCAAUCAUUUCUGUUGGAAGAACAGAACACCUUGCAUAUUACCUCCUCAAGUAGCUUAUUUCUUGACAAACAGGAAACAUGAGCCUCUAUCAUCUCCUCCACCCAGCUUGGAUGAGUAGUGUGUGAGCAGGAGAGGAAUUACACAAGCAAAUUCUCCCUCUGUUCUCAAAACUGCAAUUCAGAGAGAGUGCUCGGAGGCCCUGCUAUAAACAAAGUGCUGACAGCUAAACCCCAAGCUUAAGUCGUAAGAAAUAAAGCUUUACAUCUUGGAC